rnacentral:rRNA from 1 species
GAUGAACGCUAGCUACAGGCUUAACACAUGCAAGUCGUGGGGCAUCAUGAUGUAGUAAUACAUUGAUGGCGACCGGCGCACGGGUGAGUAACGCGUAUCCAACCUACCCUCCACUCAAGUAUAGGCUUCCGAAAGGGAGAUUAAUCCUUGAUAUCGUCAUUCUCUCUCCUGUUAGAAUGAUAAAAGGACAUCGUUUCGGUAGAGGAUGGGGAUGCGUUCCAUUAGGUAGUAGGUGGUUUAACAGGCCACCUAGCCGAUGAUGGAUAGGGGUUCUGAGAGGAAUAUCCCCCACACUGGUACUGAGAUACGGACCAGACUCCUACGGGAGGCAGCAGUGAGGAAUAUUGGUCAAUGGGCGCAAGCCUGAACCAGCCAUGUAGCGUGAAGGAUGACGGUUUUUUUGAUUGUAAACUUCUUUUCUGUGCGAUUAAAGUGUGGCAUUUAUGCCAUAUUGCAGUAUCUCAG